GUCUACAGCCAUACCACCCUGAUGCACCUGAUCUCGUCUGAUCUUGGAAGCUAAGCAGGGUCGGGCCUUGUUAGUACUUGGAUGGGAGAUCUGAGUUAGAGAUAUUAGUGUGAACU
ensembl:rRNA 5S_rRNA 5S ribosomal RNA